AUGAGGAAAGACAAUUCAUUGUUAAAUUAGAUUUUGGAAACCUUACACACUAAAUAGAUGAGGAAUAUUAUUUCUGACAAGAGCUUGGAACUCCUCAUCAUCACAAUAAGCUGCAGGGACAGUCCUCAUGAGGGACGACUGUCAGACGGCUGUGUUGUCUGGAAACAGUCUUCCUCAGAUCAGGCAGAACUUCAUCAUGCAGAUGUUGUUCUCCUCUCUCACACUCUCAUCCUGCUGGGUUCUCUCAGGUGAAAAGGUCAGAGGUCUGGUUGGAUGUGCAGGAAAAAGCAGCUUCAUGGACCCAGAAGGUAAAGACCCGAGUCAUCAGUCCUGAGUCUGGACACAUGAAGUCUGAUUCGUCCUUCUCUGAGGGCGUCUUUGUCACACUGAACUCGUCCUGCAAACUGUCCAUCCUGAGACUUUGAGACCUCAACACCCUUAUGUACAUGAUACAGGAUCAAGGGUUUAACACCAUUAAACAGUUGACAGAUAAUGUUAAUUGAGGUGGAGGAACUGUCAGGUUUGGUUGUAAACAUCCAUUCCAGUGUGAUGGUGUCGUUCUCCUCUGCCUGAUAGGAGGUCUGUGUCACUUUCACUACAAAUGUUCCUGUUGAGGAGACAGAGACGGAAAGUGUUUAAAAUACACCAGUAAAAAGGUCAUGAAAGGUCAUGACCAAUAAUAAAUACAAUCUAAGUAAUAACUGAAUAUAGAGCAUCUUCCCAACUGUAAUGAAGAGUUUCUACUCGCUUUAAUAG